GAGCAGUCAGAAAUGAACUUGCUCAUAAAAGUACAGUAGCAGUGAGCAGUAAGUCUGUAAUUUUAUGUAUGAGCUGGUUUCUGACUAAAACGCGCAGCA
rnacentral:pre_miRNA from 14 species